rnacentral:rRNA from 1 species
CCUACGGGAGGCAGCAGUAGGGAAUAUUGCUCAAUGGGGGAAAGCCUGAAGCAGCAACGCCGCGUGGAGGAUGAAGGUUUUCGGAUUGUAAACUCCUUUUGGUAGAGAAGAUAAUGACGGUAUCUAACGAAUAAGCACCGUCUAACUCCGUGCCAGCAGCCGCGGUAAUACGGAGGGUGCAAGCGUUACUCGGAAUGACUGGGCGUAAAGGGCGCGUAGGCGGGUUAGCAAGUCAGAUGUGAAAGCCUAGGGCUUAACCCUAGAACUGCAUUUGAAACUGUUAUUCUAGGGUAUGAGAGAGGUAGGUGGAAUUCGUGGUGUAGGGGUGAAAUCCGUAGAGAUCACGAAGAAUACUGAUUGCGAAGGCAGCAUGCCAGCACCUCACUGACGCUGAUGCGCGAAAGCGUGGGGAGCAAACAGGAUUAGAUACCCCAGUAGUC